UGUGUCAAAAAAUAAUAAGUUGACAAUAACCCUGCCAGAAUAUGCAGCAAGGAUGACUGCAUAUUUCUUCUUGCCAGCAUGACAGUAUUAGGGAGCUGGUACAAGCACAGAGGAGAGAGGGCUCUGGACUCAGAAGCAUGCUGCCUUAUCUCGGGCUUUAAAGACUUCUCUGGAGGAUAUGGUCAUUUCUCUCUGGUUUCAUUGUGCCUUGACUAUCACACUGCAAGGAAGUCCAAGAUAGCACAGGACUCUCUGUACUGUACGUGCCCUGGGAACCAGGCACUUUCCAUUACAUAUAUCAGUCACCACAUGCUGCAGUGAUUCCUUACAGCCGGUGCAGAUCCUCAAACACAACAGGGGAUGACAAAGAAAUAUGUCAGUUUUGAAAGCUGCCUCAUCACUGCCUGGGCAUGUGGGACACCUGUUCUUUUACCACAGCUUAUUUGAACGAAUGCUAAAUAAAACCUUGUUGCUCUCCA
rnacentral:lncRNA from 1 species